rnacentral:rRNA from 1 species
UACGGGGGGGGGCAAGCGUUGUUCGGAAUUACUGGGCGUAAAGGGCUCGUAGGUGGCCAACUAAGUCAGACGUGAAAUCCCUCGGCUCAACCGGGGAACUGCGUCUGAUACUGGGUGGCUUGAAUCCGGGAGAGGGAUGCGGAAUUCCAGGUGUAGCGGUGAAAUGCGUAGAUAUCUGGAGGAACACCGGUGGCGAAGGCGGCAUCCUGGACCGGCAUUGACGCUGAGGCGCGAAAGCCAGGGGAGCAAACGGG